rnacentral:rRNA from 1 species
UGCGUAGGCGGCUUGUUAAGUCGGGGUGAAAUACUUCGGCUCAACCGGAGAAUUGCCUUCGAUACUGGCGAGCUGGAGGAAGGUAGGGGUCGCGGGAACUGCCAGUGGAGCGGUGAAAUGCGUUGAUAUUGGCAGGAACGCCGGUGGUGAAGACGCGCGGCUGGACCUUUUCUGACGCUGAUGCACGAAAGCCAGGGGAGCAAACG